rnacentral:rRNA from 1 species
CAGCAGCCGCGGUAAUACGUAGGUGGCAAGCGUUGUCCGGAAUUAUUGGGCGUAAAGGGCUCGCAGGCGGUUUCUUAAGUCUGAUGUGAAAGCCCCCGGCUCAACCGGGGAGGGUCAUUGGAAACUGGGAGACUUGAGUGCAGAAGAGGAGAGUGGAAUUCCACGUGUAGCGGUGAAAUGCGUAGAGAUGUGGAGGAACACCAGUGGCGAAGGCGACUCUCUGGUCUGUAACUGACGCUGAGGAGCGAAAGCGUGGGGAGCGAACAGGAUUAGAUACCCCUGUAGUCCCUGUCUCUUAUAC